AGAGAUGUGUGAUGACGCAUAUCAAUAAGCGGAGGAAAAGAAACUAACAAGGAUUCCCUUAGUAACGGCGAGUGAAGCGGGAAGAGCUCAAAUUUGAAAUCUUCAAGGUUCUACCUUGACGAAUUGUAGUUUAUAGAAGUGUUUUCUGUUAGUAGAGUGGCAAAAGUUCUUUGGAAUAGGACAUCAUAGAGGGUGAGAAUCCCGUAUUUGGUCAUUCUUUCUAGCUUUGUGAUACACUUUCAACGAGUCGGAUUGUUUGGGAAUGCAGUCCAAAAUGGGUGGUAAAUUUCAUCUAAAGCUAAAUAUUGGCGAGAGACCGAUAGCGAACAAGUACCGUGAGGGAAAGAUGAAAAGAACUUUGAAAAGAGAGUUAAACAGUACGUGAAAUUGUCAAAAGGGAAGCGUUUGACACCAGUGUUGUUUUUCCGAAAAUCAAUUACGAAUGUUUUAGUAUUUGAGAGUUAUGACUUCAUCGGCUUGCUUCCUCUCUUUAUGAAACUUUCUUAAUGCACUUCUCGGUUAACAAGUCAACAUCAAUUUCUUUUGUUGUAAAAGGGUAUGAGGAAGGUGGCUUUCUUUUCGGAGAAAGUGUUUAUAGCCUUGUACCUCUGCAAUCGGAGAGAUUGAGGUCUGCAGCGUAGAUCCUUCGGGGUUAGAUACAUUUGUGCUAAGUUAUAGCUUUUCAUAGACAACUUGUUGACUAUGUUAAGUCUUGUAGCUUACUCGCUUAUGCUAUUUUACCUACGCUUAGGAUGUUGAAGUCAUCGUAUCGCGC
rnacentral:rRNA from 1 species